rnacentral:tRNA from 2 species
UGCGGGGUGGAGCAGCCAGGUAGCUCGUCGGGCUCAUAACCCGAAGGUCACAGGUUCGAAUCCUGUCCCCGCUACCA